CUGCAGGCCGUUCAGCGAGGCUUUGCCUGCGGUGGCUCUGACCUUUCCUGUAGUGUCUGCUAGAGAGAUAUGAGUUGGUUUGAGGCCUUGCUGUGUCUCCUCCAUGGCAAGGUUAUAUAAACCUCAGACAAUC